ACGUAGGGUGCGAGCGUUAAUCGGAAUUACUGGGCGUAAAGGGCGCGUAGGCGGCUUAUCAAGUCGGGCGUGAAAUCUCCGGGCUUAACCUGGAAAAGUCGUUCGAUACUGUUGAGCUAGAGUGUGGAAGAGGCAACUAGAAUUCCGUGUGUAGCGGUGAAAUGCGUAGAUAUACGGAGGAAUACCUGAGGCGAAGGCGGGUUGCUGGGCCAACACUGACGCUGAGGCGCGAAAGCCAGGGGAGCAAACGGGA
rnacentral:rRNA from 1 species